rnacentral:rRNA from 1 species
CAAGUCGAGCGGAUGAGAAGAGCUUGCUCUUCGAUUCAGCGGCGGACGGGUGAGUAAUGCCUAGGAAUCUGCCUGGUAGUGGGGGACAACGUUUCGAAAGGAACGCUAAUACCGCAUACGUCCUACGGGAGAAAGCAGGGGACCUUCGGGCCUUGCGCUAUCAGAUGAGCCUAGGUCGGAUUAGCUAGUUGGUGAGGUAAUGGCUCACCAAGGCGACGAUCCGUAACUGGUCUGAGAGGAUGAUCAGUCACACUGGAACUGAGACACGGUCCAGACUCCUACGGGAGGCAGCAGUGGGGAAUAUUGGACAAUGGGCGAAAGCCUGAUCCAGCCAUGCCGCGUGUGUGAAGAAGGUCUUCGGAUUGUAAAGCACUUUAAGUUGGGAGGAAGGGCAUUAACCUAAUACGUUGGUGUCUUGACGUUACCGACAGAAUAAGCACCGGCUAACUCUGUGCCAGCGGCCGCGGU